ACAUUGUAACCAAGGUUACCAGAGUAAUAUAGAAAUAAAGUUAUUAAUAUAUAAACAUACUAAUAUAUAAACAAAACUAUUGAGAACUACUUAAAAACGAGUACUAUUAUAAAAGAAAAUAUUAAUUUUAUAUAAACAUAUAUUUUACUUGGUUAUUAAUGUGACCAAUAGAGAGUAGCUUUUAAUGCAACGUGAGCCAAUGAGAGCGCAGAAUGUGGCGCAGCGGAGAAAUUAGUUUCCGGAUUUUGCACGAGGUUUGCUCGUGGAGUCAGAGGCAGCUCUCUCUAUCGUGCAUAGGUGCUGAUGAGCGCGGUGUUUGCUGACGCUCCGGGGAACAGAAACAUAGAAAUAAUCUUCUGGAUGUGUUUUAUCGAUGGAUUGAUGUUAAAGAAAAGGGUUUAAAUCGGACGCGUUGUAACCGCUCCAUUCUGGAAUUUUCUGUGAGUUUAAAGAUCUCCUUGGUCAGGUUUUUUGUUUUUGUUUGGUUUUGUUCUGUUUUUCUUGUUCUGCCCUUGUCCAAAUUGGAUUGCUGUCCUGUCCGAUGUGACGAGAUGUACCGAUGCCUGUAUUCUGGAUUUGUCCCGGCCUUCCAGUGGUUUUGAGGAGGGUUUGGACUGGCGAGCCUCCCUUGAGUUGUUCUUGGAUUUUCUGUGGAAACAAAAGAUUUUCUGAACUCUGCGAAUGGUAGGAAAUCGAAUAACUCUUCUUUUUUUGUGUUUUGGAUGGAGAUGUUCCUCAUGGACAAAGAAAAGACAUUUGUACUUCUAUGGACCAUUUGAAGAACUGUUUUUCUUGAAAGACUGAGAAAUUGAGGAUUUUGAGAUCAAAGGACAUUAUUUUAUUUCAUUGAGAAGUGUCAAUUUUCUGGGUUGACAAGUGAUAUAUUGUUUGGGUUUUGAUACUUGAACACUAAUUUUUGGGUGAAUCGAACACUGAGUUAAAGUGAAUAAAGUACUUACCUUGUUGACAAUCAAGGGAAAAGUUUCACGAAACCUGUGAAAAGAAAAGAUUGAUAGGAAAAUUCAGAAACAAUAUUUUCAAUUGUGAAAAUAUAUAUAUAUAUU